GCCUAGCCAACAAUGUCGUCUGAACUGCUGGCAUACAACUGCCUGUGCUAUUGGUUUGCCAUGUCUGCUUCUCCAUGAGUGUGGUCUAAAGACUACCUGAAACUGUGCAGCUCUCUUUCAAAGGCAUUCAGCCAGCACUGCAGCAGUGGCGCCUGGAGAGAGUUACCAAUGCCUGAGACUCCACGUCGGAGCUCCGACACUGGAAAUGCUGACGAGUUGGCCAACAUGGACCGAUGUUGGGGUGUUCCUGCAGCAAUGGCGGCCGGGGGAUUUCUGAUAUGCAUGCCGUCCACUUGCUUCGGGCUGCUAUUUGUUCUUUUCAUGGACCGGUUCGGCGCCACGAGAGAGGAGCAGCUUGGCCAGAGAACGCUUUUACCUUGGCUAGCCAUCUGUCGGGCAAGUACCUUGGGCUAAAUCAAUUUCGAAUUUUUAGUGAUCAUGCUCAGAUCUGGAGUACGCCCGUUCACUUGAUGACCUGUCCACACGUUCCUCUUUCUGCUUGUAGAUGUUUUACCUUGUCGCACAAGUGUAUGCUUAAAGCUUGGCUUUUGGAAGCAUUUUCGAAUAAGAUUCGAGCUUUUGAUAGAAUUGCCAUAGAAAACAGCACGAACAUAUAACCAAUCCAGUUCUUUUGCUUUCAUGGGCAGAUUGGCUGCCUAAUUAAUUGCGAAUCAAGCUCAUUCACACACGUUCACCACCAACACUUUUACUUCAUCACACUCUGAAAUUGAGUCUAAGCAUACAAUUGAUGCCAAGAACCAUUUAGUCGUGUGCAUUCAUCCAACAUGUCAUAAGCAACAAGCUUACAGACAAAACAGUCCAACGUUCUUAAUAAAUAUGUACCACUGU